rnacentral:rRNA from 1 species
GAACUUAAGCAUAUCAAUAAGCGGAGGAAAAGAAACCAACAGGGAUUGCCUCAGUAACGGCGAGUGAAGCGGCAACAGCUCAAAUUUGAAAUCUGGCCCCCAGGCCCGAGUUGUAAUUUGCAGAGGAUGCUUUGGGCGCGGCGCCUUCCGAGUUCCCUGGAACGGGACGCCACAGAGGGUGAGAGCCCCGUCUGGUUGGAUGCCUAGCCUAUGUAAAGCUCCUUCGACGAGUCGAGUAGUUUGGGAAUGCUGCUCUAAACGGGAGGUAUAUGUCUUCUAAAGCUAAAUAUUGGCCAGAGACCGAUAGCGCACAAGUAGAGUGAUCGAAAGAUGAAAAGCACUUUGAAAAGAGGGUUAAAUAGUACGUGAAAUUGUUGAAAGGGAAGCGCUUACGACCAGACUUGGGCCCGGCGGAUCACCCGGCGUUCUUCGCCGGGGCACUCCGCCGGCCCAGGCCAGCAUCGGUUCGCCUUGGGGGAUAAAGGCGGUGGGAACGUAGCUCCCUCGGGAGUGUUAUAGCCCGCCGUGUAAUACCCUGCGGCGGACCGAGGACCGCGCAUCUGCAAGGAUGCUGGCGUAAUGGUCGUCAGCGACCCGUCUUGAAACACGGACCAAGGAGUCGUCUUCGUAUGCGAGUGUUCGGGUGGAAAACCCCUACGCGUAAUGAAAGUGAACGCAGGUGAGAGCUUCGGCGCAUCAUCGACCGAUCCUGAUGUUCUCGGAUGGAUUUGAGUAAGAGCAUACGGGGCCGGACCCGAAAGAAGGUGAACUAUGCCUGUAUAGGGUGAAGCCAGAGGAAACUCUGGUGGAGGCUCGCAGCGGUUCUGACGUGCAAAUCGAUCGUCAAAUAUGGGCAUGGGGGCGAAAGACUAAUCGAACCUUCUAGUAGCUGGUUUCCGCC